rnacentral:rRNA from 1 species
CCUACGGGUGGCAGCAGUGGGGAAUAUUGGACAAUGGGCGAAAGCCUGAUCCAGCCAUGCCGCGUGUGUGAAGAAGGCCUUCGGGUUGUAAAGCACUUUCAGUGGGGAAGAAAGCCUUGGGGCUAAUACCCUCGAGGAAGGACAUCACCCACAGAAGAAGCACCGGCUAACUCCGUGCCAGCAGCCGCGGUAAUACGGAGGGUGCGAGCGUUAAUCGGAAUUACUGGGCGGAAAGCGCGCGUAGGCGGUCUGAUAAGUCGGUUGUGAAAGCCCCGGGCUCAACCUGGGAACGGCAUCCGGAACUGUCAGGCUAGAGUGCAGGAGAGGAAGGUAGAAUUCCCGGUGUAGCGGUGAAAUGCGUAGAGAUCGGGAGGAAUACCAGUGGCGAAGGCGGCCUUCUGGACUGACACUGACGCUGAGGUGCGAAAGCGUGGGUAGCAAACAGGAUUAGAUACCCGGGUAGUC